GACGAACGCUGGCGGCGUGCUUAACACAUGCAAGUCGAACGGAAAGGCCCUGCUUUUGUGGGGUGCUCGAGUGGCGAACGGGUGAGUAACACGUGAGUAACCUGCCCUUGACUUUGGGAUAACUUCAGGAAACUGGGGCUAAUACCGGAUAGGAGCUCCUGCUGCAUGGUGGGGGUUGGAAAGUUUCGGCGGUUGGGGAUGGACUCGCGGCUUAUCAGCUUGUUGGUGGGGUAGUGGCUUACCAAGGCUUUGACGGGUAGCCGGCCUGAGAGGGUGACCGGCCACAUUGGGACUGAGAUACGGCCCAGACUCCUACGGGAGGCAGCGGUGGGAAAUAUUGCACAAUGGGCGGAAGCCUGAUGCAGCAACGCCGCGUGCGGGAUGACGGCCUUCGGGUUGUAAACCGCUUUCGCCUGUGACGAAGAGUGAGUGACGGUAAUGGAUAAAGAAGCACCGGCUAACUACGUG
rnacentral:rRNA from 1 species